UCGGCCCUCCAAGAUGGUCGCCGGCGUACGUGGGCCGCUCACGCGGUGGACGUGCGUCGGAGGAAAGUCCGGACAUCGCAGGGCUGGGUGGUCGGUAACGCCGACCGGGGGUAACCCUAGGGCCAGUGCAACAGAAAACAGACCGCCGGGCGAGCCUUCGGGCCUGCCCGGUAAGGGUGAAAAGGUGAGGUAAGAGCUCACCGGGGCGGUGGUGACAUCGCCUGUCUUUGCAAACCCCACCCGAUGCAAGGCGAACGGGAGUCGAGGGUCUUCGGACCCUCCAGGGCGGCCCGCCCUGCCGACUCCAGGUAGCCGCUCGAGCUGCAGAGCAAUCUGUGGCCUAGAUGAAUGACCAUCGCCGCUUCUGGGCGCAAGCCCGGAGGAGGGGACAAAAUCCGGCUUACUAGGAGGACCGAGCGU
rnacentral:RNase_P_RNA from 2 species